rnacentral:tRNA from 1 species
UUAUAAUUAUAUAUAUAAUUAUAUAAAAGUAUUAAUAUGUUAUGGUCCAAAUGAAUUGAUUAUAAUUUUUAUAAAUUUUUAAUUUUUUAAUUUUUUUAAAAGUACAUAUUCAUAUAAAAUAAAACCGUUUAAAAUUUUAGUAAUAAAUUAUAACAAAAAUAUAUAAUUUAAAUAAUAUAUAUUUUUGUCAUAAUUUAAAUUUAUAUUGUGAG